GCGGGCCCGGCGGGCGGACGGCGGGGCCUGGGGACGCGCCACCGGGCGGGGGCGGGGGGGAGCGUGGCCCGGGGCCGUCCUGUCGCCCACCCCGCGCGGGUCGGAGCGCUGUGCCCGCCGAGCCGCCGUGCGCCGGGUUCCGGGCCGGGUGUCCGGGGCAGGCGCUGGCCGCCUCUCCCCGAGUGGCUGGGAAACGUCUCCCUUUCCUUUCCUUGUGCCCCGUUACGGCGCGAGCGGUCGCGAGUGCCUAGUGCAGAGCGCCCUGGGCCGGGCCCGAGGCUCGUCCGUGGGGAGGGCCGCCAGCAGCUGCCCGGCCUUCCUCCCCGGCUCGGGGCCCACCUGGGGCGGGAAGGGGAGGAGGGGGCGGCAGGGUCAACAGAGGGGCGGGAGCGGAGAACGGGUCGGAGCCCAGCAGCACCGGCGGGGCGGACGCGGAGAACGGGUCGAGCCCAGCAGCACCGGCGGGGCGGACGCGGAGAACGGGUCGAGCCCAGCAGCACCGGCGGGGCGGACGCGGAGAACGGGUCGAGCCCAGCAGCACCGGCGGGGCGGACGCGGAGAACGGGACGAGCCCAGCAGCACCGGCGGGUGGGAACGAAGAGCAGACUCUCCUACACCUUUUCCUCCCGAGGGCCGGGGAGCGGGGGGACAUCACCAUCCGUCCCCUCCGUCUGGGCUUGGCUGUGCCCCGAGCCCUUCCAUAGCUGGCGAUGGGUUAACUAGGAGACGGAGAUCACAAAUAGGCAGAAAGGCAAGCAGAGAGAGGGAAGGAAGCAGGCUCCCUGCCUAGCAGAGAGCCUGAUGCGGGCUCGAUCCCAGGACCCUGAGAUCAUGACCUGAGCCGAUGUUUCGAUCUCCCUGACUGUGGAAAGCUCUUCCUUUGAUGGAGCUGAAAUGUGUCCUGAUGCAACUACCCAUUACUCCCAGUCUGUGCGGAUUAAAUGGAAGUUUUCUUCCGUGUGGCAACCUGUCAUCUCUCUGAAGGCCAGGACCACGCCUUCUGUCAGGAAUUAUUGGAAGAAACAUCCUUCCUUUCCUCUUCACAUGUGACUUCAGUAACUAAAGCUGACCCUCCACGGAGCCAGGCUGAUUAGCAAAGCUAAUUCCUUCUUUGUCUGGACUCUCGGUCUUUCCCCCCACCCCCGCCCACCACUCUCUCUCAAGAGAGAGUGGACUGCUUCAGAGGUCAGAAUGUUCUACGGAACAGUCCGUCAAAACCCGCUGGUUUUGUUGUGAGAACCAUCUGGGUCUUCUGUUAAGUAGUUUCAAAAUCUAAAGGCCAGAGUUUGCUUUAAUUAUAUUCAUUCUUGUCAGCUUGGUUUGGUUGCUUUGGCUCCGUGAUCCGUUCCAGCCCGUCUUUGUCACCUUGAUCUACUGGAAUCUAGCACUGAAUGAUUUACUGGUAGAGAGACUCUGCUCGGAGCAGACACUAAAAAAGCUUCUGCAGAAUGUAUUAAAACAUCAAGCGUGAAAGCAACCCCACGGACUGUUUCCUGACUGGUCAGAAGUUGUUGCGGGAACUUGGAGUGGGUCGUUAGGUAUGGGACCUCUCCUCUGCGGGAUGCCUGUUAGCAGAAUUGUAGGCCAUGGGCUUCCGAAGAGCGCGGUGCUCAGUGUGGGAGACCCGGGUGCUGAGCUAAAGCCACUGGGGGAAGCAGCAACAUCAAGGUAAUGCCGUUCAGCACGCUGGCCGCAGGGCGAGGGGAGUGGGGUCAGGUACGGGAGCGGGGCAGCCCAAGGAUCUGGGACUCUACCCUGUCUUGGCAUCAGUUCAGAAGGUGGAACUUCUAGACACAUGUCCUGCCAGGCAUUUCUCUCUGAACAAUUGAUUAUUGACAUGGGCUGGGCUCACGCUCUUGCAUGAACGCCUUCAGACCGGGCUCACUGGCACCACAAAAAAAAAAAAUCACCACCGUUAUAACAACAAGUCUUGAUUUUGCAGCAAAAAUCUGGGCUGCCACUACUUUCAGGAAAGAAGAAAAACUCAGACCUUGGCAGGAAAACACCCUCGCAGGCACCUCCUCCUUCUGACUGUUGGGAAAGCACCUGGGCUCCGAGGCCAGGCAUCGCAGAAGCUCAAAGACAUGUGCGUGUGCAAGUGGCGUCUUGUCUGACUUCCACGCCAUGUGGCCAAGCCUUCUCCUGUCCCUGCGUGCCAGUCUGGUCCACAACGGUGCUGCUUUCUCUCAAGUUCCUCGUGGAAAAUAUUUUGCCCUGCCAUUGCCCCUGAAGGCCUGAAACACUAAUUGAACCCGAACGUUUUAAUUGAACCUCAUUACUUGAGCCGUGUGUGAAGGAGGCAUGGGUCCCCUGGGUCGGCACCGGGGCAGGAGGAGGCUCUGCUCCGGGCGGCACAGGUGUCUCGUGGUACCAAAAUGCACCGCCCCUGGGAGCCCAGUUACUUGGGGCAACUUUGUGUCCCUGGUCCCCAUUUACUCGGUGUACUUCACGCUGCCCGAGUCCUUCCCCUUGAGGCCGAGAGGGAAGUAGCCGUGAGACAGAGUCACGAGCGGCUCUCCAACGUUGGGGAGGCCAGAAUUUGGGGAACCUCCACCCAUUCGGCCCCUGACUCCCACAGCAAAGGCCAUUCGUUAGUUAGGCGCUCGGCUCUUCCCUAUUCUUCAGAAUGCGAAAGGUCAGACGUGGGGUUUUGUGGAGCAAGAGUGACAUUCCGGUGUCCCGCGUGCCCGGUGCGGACUCCCGGCGCGCUCCCUGCAGCUGGCAACGCCCGAGCGAGGCACCGCUCAAACGGCUCGUGGGGACUCGUGUAGCCUCACCGCUCAGAUGAAGGUGCUCGGGGCCCUGUGGGUCUACCCGCCAAGUUCACGAGGACCGUUCUUUAUCAGUAGAAGAGAAGAGCGUGAAAGCAGGGGGUGCAAGUGCCCGGGGAUGCAGUGUCUUGGCGAGUACAGACGGAGCAGAGAGCACACCCCGUUCUGGAGGACAGGGUUCUGGAAAACAUGGUAACUCCUUAGUUUAAAUAAAAAUAUUUUUUCAAACCUUCCUUUCUUUCUUUUUUUCCCCAGUAAUCUCUAAAGCCCAGUGUGGGCCCCGAACUCAUGAUCCCAAGAUCGAGUGUGGCAUACUUUACCAAACAAAUCAGUAGGUAUUGGCUGAGCACGUCGGCGGAGUGGGCGCCUCAUCGCGGGUGCACUCGUGCCUGGCCUGCUGGUCUCUGUCGCAGCGAUCGGAGAACCUCAUGGGAGCGGUGGACACGGGAGCAAACAGCCUGACACAACGCGGGCACGGGGUCAGACAUCGCGAGCCCCCCCCAGCCCUCCCUGACGCUUGCCUUCCGGGGGGCAGAACUCUCUUCCCGUUCUAAAAGUGAAAAUGACUUCCCAGCUUCCCUUGUAUCUGGGAAAAGGGCGUGUUACCAAAACCUGCUCCGCAGAUUUACUGGAAGGGUUCUGGCAAAGAUGUUCACUUGAAAAGAGCAAUUCCCAGAGAUUUCCAAAGCUGCGUCUCCCACCGUCACGGAGGAACUGUGCUCCCGUUUCUUUGGUUGAAGUCCUAACUCCGAGUCCUCAGAAUGGGACCCUAUUUGGAGACAGGGUCUUUAGAGAGGUGAUCAAGUCACAAGGAGGCCAUCAGGGCCUAGAGGACAGGCUCACUUAGAGCCCCAACAUCACUGAGCUGGCUCCGGAACCAUCGCUUCCAGGCUUCUGGUAAAGAGACAGUCCCUGUUGUUCAAGCUGCUUCAGAUGUGGGAGUUUUGUGACCCCAAACCACAAGCAUCCUAACAGAUACAUGUAGGGACAGAGGCCUUGUACCGAGAUAGGUAUCAGAGGGACACUGAGAAGACUUGUCUAGGUGGCAACCCAGCCUGGGUCUUUUAAGAUACUCGGAAAGUAAUCAAGUAAGUGCCUGGAUGAAGGGCAUUUCAGAAAGGCAGGAUCACACGGAGAGCAGAAGCCACCAGCACUGUGGGAGCAACUUAGUAGCGACAAGCCUUUGGUGUCCUAGGAGUCCCAGCGGGGAGCUGGGAGGGUUGGGGAGUGAGCUCUGGGGUUCUUCGGGGGAGCCUCGCCUCGCUGGUCCCUCUGGGAGAGCCAUUGUUCCCUUGGGAUGGGAUGGGGGU